AGGUGCUUCGGAGCUGCUAGGUGCUCAGCGACGUUUGACUACUUGGCAUUGCACAGAAAAGGAAAACUGUUUUGAUGAUUUAAAAAAAAAUGGUUUUUUGCUUUUCAUCUUGAUUUAUCAAUGCGAGAGAUGAAUGAAAGGGAGAGGUGGAUAGAGAAGAGAAAAGAGGAGGGGGAAAGGGAGGACAAAGAGGGAGGGGAGGAGGAGGAAGAGAAGAAGCAGGAAGCAAAUGAACCUUUGUGAAGUGCUGUCCCACAUCUGAAACUGUGUUUGGCACAAUGGGACACCAAAACUGAAUGUAGAAAAUGAAGACUCCUUUAAAGGCUGAAAAUUGAGUCACAGAAAAUAUAAGACAAUUAGAGAAUAAUAUCUCUACAAGGCUAAUUCAAGACUGUACAAGCCAGGUUUAAAAGAUGAAGGAAAAGUCGUGGUUAGUAACGGUGACUGAAACGGCAGCACCCGCAGGUAUACAGACAUUCUAAACCAAAAGUACAGCAUGGACAGGAAGGAGACGAGAGUAGAGCCUAUAACUCGACACAUGACAAUAGCUGUCUGCCAGCUAGCGGGAAGGUAGCAUGCAAUAUAACAAUGAACUUUUCUCUGUGUAUUGUACACACGUGUGCUCAUAUCAUACACAUACAUGAUCACUAGCAUGGCUGCUAGUAGGUGCUAGCAAAGUGAUCUACCAUCCACAAAGACUUCGAGCUCCUGGCAAAUGGAGACCAUAUUAUCCGUGACUCCCCCAAAUCACUUAACGCAUCUUCAAAACUCUCCCUACACAGGAAGCAGAAAGAAGGGGGUCCCAACAACACAUUGUCUCUAGAGAGAAUGCUCGGUGAAGUAGCUGUUAAGACUCUCAAGACAAAAAUUACAUGUCUUCUUACACUCCAUAAGGUCAGGCCCUAUUACAGGAGCAUCAUCAGAGCUACCUGCUAGGAGCCCUCUUCACACCAACCACCUGCCUGCUUGGCCACUCACUGCCUGCCUGCUGCCAGCCCACGAGCCCGAACCAACCAGCCAGGACAUCUGCUACAGAUCAGUGCCAAGCUCUCGGAUCCCAUCUACCCCCCUGCUGGCCGGCCUCAUGGUGCUCUUGUGUGACAGCACAGCCCCGCUCUCUCUGCCCAGCCAAGCCUAGCCCACUUGAGGGUCCUUAGCUAUUAGCCUGAACCUUAGUCUGUCACAGACAUGGCAGUGGAUCUUAACAGGAG
rnacentral:lncRNA from 1 species